rnacentral:rRNA from 1 species
CCUACGGGUGGCAGCAGUGGGGGAUAGUGCACAAUGGGGGAAACCCUGAUGCAGCGACGCCGCGUGUGGGAAGACGGUCCUCUGGAUUGUAAACCACUGUCGCCAGGGACGAAAAUGACGGGACCGGGGGAGGAAGCGCCGGCUAACUACGUGCCAGCAGCCGCGGUAAGACGUAGGGAGCGAGCGUUGUCCGGAAUGACUGGGUGUAAAGGGAGCGUCGGCGGGGCGGCAAGGUGGGUGUCAAAACUACCGGCUCAACUGGUAGUCGCACUCAAAACUGCAGCUCUGGAGUGCAGUAGAGGCAGGCGGAAUUCCUCGUGUAGCUGUGCACUGCGUAGAUCUUAGGCGG